rnacentral:rRNA from 1 species
GUGCCAGCAGCCGCGGUAAUACGAAGGGUGCAAGCGUUAUCCGGAUUCAUUGGGUUUAAAGGGUGCGUAGGCGGGGCGAUAAGUCAGUGGUGAAAUCCUGCAGCUUAACUGUAGAAUUGCCAUUGAUACUGCCGCUCUUGAGUACGCUCGACGUAGGCGGAAUGUGCCGUGUAGCGGUGAAAUGCUUAGAUAUGGCACAGAACACCGAUAGUGAAGACAGCUUACGAGGGCGAAACUGACGCUGAGGCACGAAAGCGUGGGGAUCGAACAGGAUUAGAUACCCUAGUAGUCC